rnacentral:rRNA from 1 species
GACGAACGCUGGCGGCGUGCUUAACACAUGCAAGUCGAACGGAAAGGCCCUGCUUUUGUGGGGUGCUCGAGUGGCGAACGGGUGAGUAACACGUGAGUAACCUGCCCUUGACUUUGGGAUAACUUCAGGAAACUGGGGCUAAUACCGGAUAGGAGCUCCUGCUGCAUGGUGGGGGUUGGAAAGUUUCGGCGGUUGGGGAUGGACUCGCGGCUUAUCAGCUUGUUGGUGGGGUAGUGGCUUACCAAGGCAUUGACGGGUAGCCUGCCUGAGAGGGUGACCGGCCAAAUUGGGACUGAGAUACGGCCCAGACUCCUACGGGAGGCAGCAGUGGGGAAUAGUGCACAAUGGGCGGAAGCCUGAUGCAGCAACGCCGCGUGCGGGAUGACGGCCUUCGGGUUGUAAACCGCUUUCGCCUGUGACGAAGCGUGAGUGACGGUAAUGGGUAAAGAAGCACCGGCUAACUACGUG